rnacentral:misc_RNA from 1 species
CAGAGUUUACAGACUCCCUAAACCAUUGUGAACCUACCUUCUAUCGUUGCCUUCGGCGGAUCAGGCCCGCGCCCCCCGUCCCCCCGGGACGGCCCGCCGGAGGAUACCCAAACUCUGUAUUAUUGUACCUCUCUGAGUAAUUCUUAACUAAAUAAGUCA